GUGCCUGGUUCUCCUACUCUCUCUAAGUUAAACCCCAUUUUUGCCCAACUGUGUGAUAAAUAAAGAUUAGUGAAAAGGUCCGAUAUUUAUAGCAGUGAAAAUUGGGAAGUUAAAAGUUUACUGUUGCUUUCAUAUGAUCCCAAGGAAAGCUCAGUUAGUGCUGAAGAGCAAACAGUUGGUAAAAAGAAUAAUAUGACUAAGGAUGGAGAUAUUGUGCUACCUUCAAAUAAGGAGGAUGAAGAAGAUGAGGAUAAACCACCUCUAAGGUGGUCUAUGAAGAGACAAAGUGAAAGUAAAGGGAAAGAAAAGAUUGUUGAUUCCAGUAUAAAAGUUACUAGAUCGUAUUCUACUAGGAGGUCUGAAAUAAAGUUAUUAGUUGAUGCUAUGAAUUCCAGAAAGUCUGCUACUCCUAAAGAAAAAGACUCAAGAAAUUUGUUGUAGUAGGGGAGGAGAAUGUUAAAGUUGUAGAGGUUAGAAAAGAUGAGAACAUUGAUACUGAUGUUGCUGUAGCAACGGAGAAAAAAAGAAAAGAAAUUUAUGUUUCAAGAAGGACCAGGUCCUCCCACUCAAAGUCUAGUAUCCAUGUAGGAAUGAAGCAGAAACAUAUUAUUGUGAAAAAAAAAAAAGUCUCUGAGGGACUUGGUCCCAAGAAGAGAAAAGUUGUUGAAAAAAAGGAGCCAAGUAGUGAUUUCAAAAGAAGAAGAA
rnacentral:lncRNA from 1 species